UACGUAGGGUGCAAGCGUUGUCCGGAAUUAUUGGGCGUAAAGAGCUCGUAGGCGGUUUGUCGCGUCUGCUGUGAAAACUCGGGGCUUAACUCCGGGCCUGCAGUGAGUACGGGGCAGACUAGAGUGCGGUAGGGGGAGACUGGAAUUCCUGGUGUAGCGGUGAAAUGCGCAGAUAUCAGGAGGAACACCGGUGGCGAAGGCGGGGUCUCUGGGCCGUAACUGACGCUGAGGAGCGAAAGCGUGGGGGAGCGAACAGG
rnacentral:rRNA from 1 species